ACCACUUAGUUUUCCACACUUUGCACAAUAAUUAAUGAGAUAAUCAUCCCCAAUUAUUAUACACAUUAAGAAUUUAAUGAUAUUAUAAUAAUUUGUUUUAUCUAUAUAAACAUAAUUUAGGCUAAUACAAUAUCAGGGGAUGUCAUUUACCCUGCAGAAUUUAUUGCCAAAUGCCUGAAAUGUAUCCCAACUUCUAAAUCAUUUUGUUAUAUCAGAUUCUACUACAUAGCAGUGGGUUGUUACUAUGUCGCGGUAAGCUCUAGUUAUAAUUAUGCAAUUGUAAUCCAUGGCAAUUGAUGAGCACGCGAUCUGGUCUUUUGCUAAAGUAUGAUCAUAAUUUAGACUUGAUCAUAAAUUAUCUAGUUACAUGUAUGUGCAUUAUAAAGGCUUUGAAUUCUUCUUUAGGAGAUUAUACAUUUGUAUUCUAAAACUGUACUUGCCUGAAAUAUGGCUAGCUGUAUGUAUGGGAGAAAGGGAAAUUGUAGGGUGAUCAAGAAUUCUCCUCAUAUCGAUUGAGACGUGGUCUCAACUCAUCUCUUUGGAGUUUGGAUCAUCCUAACAUGUAUUAUAAUGUCUAAUAUAUACUAUAUAUAUAUAUACUAUUUACUUCAGAAAUGUUGCAUGAGA